AUCUGAAAAAGGCAAACCUCGCGAAAGUGGGGGACGCAAGGUCAUUGAUCUACAGGGCAAGUGCUCCAGGAUAGCCUGACUGCCAGA
rnacentral:ncRNA from 1 species